CCACAACGAUACGCAUUGUGACGUGUCCACACAGAUUGUCUGAUAACUGUAAGAGCAAGAAAAACCUUCAAUAGGCUUGUAGCUCAGGUGGUUAGAGCGCACCCCUGAUAAGGGUGAGGUCGGUGGUUCAAGUCCACUCAGGCCUACCAUUCCUUCCCAUGCUGCGUUGCGGCACCGCUCGUUUAUCCCGAUAAACGUCGCGCACCCACGCCUGGCCUGGAAACGAAUGGUUGACCCGCUGUGUAUUGCCGUCUUCUCCUGUCCACGACAGGGCAGCCUGCGACCGCCAUCAGCCGGGACAAACAAAGGUUAACGACUUUGGGGCUAUAGCUCAGCUGGGAGAGCGCCUGCUUUGCACGCAGGAGGUCAGCGGUUCGAUCCCGCUUAGCUCCACCAUUCCCUGCCCGGGUCUGGUAGAGAUUGUCUGGUUUUUCUUGAUACCCCCAUUUCAGAGCAUACUCUCGCGAGUGUGCUGCGAAAUACCGCUCUUUAACAAUCCGGAACAAGCUGAAAAUUUGAAAUAGAAACAUGCUGAGCAAAAUCAGUAUGCGAGUCUCUCAAACGAAUAAAGCAAACCUAAAUGACCGUCCCUGUCGAGGGGCCUGGUCACUGUCGCCCCGGCCGAUGCCUGUUUACAGACAUCACCGAGGCAGACUGAGCGAACGGCUGAAAGCCAAGGCGCCCAGCACGGAGAAACCGCAGUGGACUGUACGUCCAUGAGGAUUUCGAGUACUGCGUAACGCGGGAUUUCAGGCGUGCAGCCAGUCGGUAAUAGACAGACACUUUAGGGUUGUGA
rnacentral:misc_RNA from 1 species